CCGGGCCCGGCGGAACGAGCUCGGGCCAGGCCGCACGAGCGAGCUCAGAGCGAUGGAUGCCUCGCGCCGCCUGGGAAGAGGCCGGGCGCGUGGGGUGGCCUCGAGCCCCAGCGCGCUUGGGCCGGGCUGCAGCCCCGCCCCCUGGGGGUGGAUCAGGCCCCGCCCAUCGACACCCCCCCCCGCCAACGGCUCCAGCUCGAGGCAGGCAGCCAAGCCUCUCAGCGGCCCGCGUCUCCCGCCGGCACGUCCACUCCGCAGACACCCACGUGCCCUGAAAUAGCCGGUUCCUGCGGGCCUGCCCCUCCCCCGUAGGGCUGCCGGGCGUCCGGUGUGGGGCCCUCUGUCCGGUGACUCCAAAGUAGAACCUAUGGAGGAGGACCGGAUGUUAAAGCUAUAGAGGAAUGGAGGACCGCCCUGCCCAGGACAGCGUCUUCCCAGGCUUGAUGUGUUAGCGUAUAGUGAUUGGCGAAGGUAUGGACAGAGGACCACGUCACGGCUCUGCAGAUGUCCAGAAUGGACCUGUGCCAUGAAAGCGGUGGAAGCUGCCACUGCUCUCGUGGAGUGCGCUCUAAGGGGUGGAGCCGCUAUGCCUGCUAGGGCAUAGCACUCCCUGAUACAAGCAGUUAUGCAGGAGGAGAUCCACUGAGAGAACAUGGGUUGGCCCCUCACCCGUUCAGCAAUGGCCACAAUGAGUUGCAGUGACUUCCUGAAUGGUUUUGUCCUGUCUAAAUAAAAGGCUAAUGCCCUGCACA